rnacentral:tRNA from 2 species
GGAGUUAUAGUUAAUAAUAACAUUUGAAUUGCAAUCAAAAAGUAUUGAACAAAUCAAUUAUCUUCA